ACGGAGGGUGCAAGCAUUAAUCGGAUUUAUUGGGCGUAAAGGGCGCGUAGGCGGAUUUGUAAGCCAGAUGUGAAAUUCCGAAGCUCAACUUCGGAGCUGCAUUUGAAACUACAAGACUAGAGGAGUGGCGGAGAAAAUGGAAUUCCACGUGUAGCGGUGAUAUGCGUAGAUAUGUGGAAGAACACCUGUGGCGAAAGCGGUUUUCUAGCUUAUUCCUGACGCUGAGGCGCGAGAGCAAGGGGAGCAAACAG
rnacentral:rRNA from 1 species